GCGGCACGGUAUUCAUUCCCAUAGGCCUAUAGCCUCUCACCUACAGCGCAUAAUUACAGUAACAGAUGAGUAGAUGACCCAUCUUUCCACUAAUAACUGUACUACUACCCGCACUUUUAUUGUGGGGGUGAAGCUGUGCCAGGGGUUUGUAUGACUUGUUUCUGGAAAGGCAUGAUCGUGUCGUGCAUCAUGUUCAUUGCGCGCUUCAAUUCGUGUGCUCGCUUGGAGUUGGGGACUUUUUUGCGUCACUGCGCUUAUCUCUGUUGGCGCUCUUCUGUUCCUGUGUGCUAUAUGGUGGUUGAACAUCUUGCAGAUAGACACAGAAAAAAAAAAACCCUUGAGAGUAAUUAAGAACUACAACUUCGCAAAAAAAAAAAAGUGGAAUUCGAUCUUACGGCAAUCAGCCCCUUUUCAUGUUAUUCUGUAAUUCAAGAAAAAUCUAAACCAUAUAUACAAUUCGCCUUAGCUUUUAUCGUUGAACAUGUCUACUCGGGUUUUUCCUCGAUUUUGUUGUAGAAAGAAGGAAACCAAUGAUAUUCAAUGAAUGAUUUGUGAUGUCUCCUCUAUCGAUAGCGAUGCCUAGUAUGAUGGCCUUAGUUCAACUUAAAAUCUAAAUUUUUUUUCAAGAUUCUUCGUCAUAUCGCAUAUUGUGGCACAUGCAUGGACCAUUAAAUAUAAAUAAAAUAAAUAAAUAAUUACAUAGUUUAUCUGUAUUUUGCAAGAUCAAUCUUUUAAAAAUCUAGUUAGUUUAUAAUUAGACAAUAAUUACCUCAUAAUACAAACGAAGUGCUACAAUAAUCUGAAUUU
rnacentral:lncRNA from 1 species